AAGACAGUACUGCUUACAGUCAGUUUUGCAGGUUUGCAUCCCAGCGUAUACAAAUUGCUGUGCAAAUCCAUGCAAAACUGAUUGUGAUGGUGUUUGCUAUCUU